ACUCCUACGGGAGGCAGCAGUGGGGAAUAUUGCACAAUGGGAAGCCAUCGAUGCAGCCAUGCCGCGCUGUGUGAAGAAGGCCAAUUCGGGCUUGGUUAAGACACUUUCAGCGAGGAGGAAAGGGUGUGUGCUAAUACCAUACAUCUGUGACGUUACUCGCAGAAGAAGCACCGGCUAACUCCGUGCCAGCAGCCGCGGUAAUACGGAGGGUGCGAGCGUUAAUCGGAAUUACUGGGCGUAAAGCGCAUGCAGGUGGUUUGUUAAGUCAGAUGUGAAAGCCCGGGCUCAAGCCUC
rnacentral:rRNA from 1 species